rnacentral:rRNA from 1 species
GGAUGAACGCUAGCGGCAGGCGUAAUACAUGCAAGUCGAGGGGCAGCACAGGUAGCAAUACUGGGUGGCGACCGGCAAACGGGUGCGGAACACGUACGCAACCUUCCUCCAGGAGAUGGAUAGCCCGAAGAAAUUCGGAUUAAUACAUCGUAACAUCACAGGGUGGCAUCACCCCAUGAUUAAAGAAUUUCGCUUGGAGAUGGGCGUGCGCCUGAUUAGGUAGUUGGUGAGGUAACGGCUCACCAAGCCGACGAUCAGUAACUGGCGUGAGAGCGCGACCAGUCACACGGGCACUGAGACACGGGCCCGACUCCUACGGGAGGCAGCAGUAAGGAAUAUUGGUCAAUGGACGGAAGUCUGAACCAGCCAUGCCGCGUGAAGGAUGAAGGUCCUCUGGAUUGUAAACUUCUUUUAUCUGGGACGAAACCACUUUUUUCUAAAGGUGUUGACGGUACCAGAGGAAUAAGCACCGGCUAACUCCGUGCCAGCAGCCGCGGUAAUACGGAGGGUGCAAGCGUUAUCCGGAUUCACUGGGUUUAAAGGGUGCGUAGGCUGAUUUGUAAGUCCGUGGUGAAAUCUCCAGGCUUAACCUGGAAACUGCCAUGGAUACUAUAAGUCUUGAAUAUUGUGGAGGUUAGCGGAAUAUGUCAUGUAGCGGUGAAAUGCAUAGAUAUGACAUAGAACACCAAUUGCGAAGGCAGCUGGCUACACAAAUAUUGACGCUGAGGCACGAAAGCGUGGGGAUCAAACAGGAUUAGAUACCCUGGUAGUCCACGCCCUAAACGAUGAUUACUCGACAUUUGCGAUAUACAGUAAGUGUCUGAGCGAAAG